rnacentral:rRNA from 1 species
UGGGGAAUAUUGCACAAUGGGCGCAAGCCUGAUGCAGCCAUGCCGCGUGUAUGAAGAAGGCCUUCGGGUUGUAAAGUACUUUCAGCGGGGAGGAAGGUGUUGUGGUUAAUAACCUCAGCAAUUGACGUUACCCGCAGAAGAAGCACCGGCUAACUCCGUGCCAGCAGCCGCGGUAAUACGGAGGGUGCAAGCGUUAAUCGGAAUUACUGGGCGUAAAGCGCACGCAGGCGGUCUGUCAAGUCGGAUGUGAAAUCCCCGGGCUCAACCUGGGAACUGCAUCCGAAACUGGUAGGCUUGAGUCUUGUAGAGGGGGGUAGAAUUCCAGGUGUAGCGGUGAAAUGCGUAGAGAUCUGGAGGAAUACCGGUGGCGAAGGCGGCCCCCUGGACAAAGACUGACGCUCAGGUGCGAAAGCGUGGGGAGCAAACA